rnacentral:lncRNA from 1 species
GUGGAUCCUCCGCCUUCCCUCUCCCUCCUCCCCUCCCCCUCCUCCCGAUCCUCCCCUCCUCCCUCCCCUUCCCUCUCCCGUAAUCCAGAGGUUGCUGUUCAACCUCUGGAUUAUGGAAAUGACCCAGGAGAGGUCUGUGAGUCUUUCUCAGAAAAAAUAAGUCAGUAAGAAAAAUAACCAAAUUCCUUCUUCCCCUGCACAAUGGGAGUCAUACUGAAGGUUUCCUGCCCCAGUGUGAAGCCGGAGCUCACACCAUCCUGUCCUCCCCCCCCACUACCGCAUCUGCCGGAGGGGACUUUGCCACAAGAGGGCAAGAGAGUCCUUUGACAGCAGGGAUGGAGGCCCUGGGCAGAGGGAAGGGGCUGGGGAAAGGGCCGACCUGGAGCACACAGGGCCAGGCCCCGUUUCUUCUGCCCCCAAGAGCGGGGAGCUGCUCCCACCCAAGGUUCCCCCAAGGCUGAGCCGCAGGAGCCACCCCUGAGGGGGAGAAGGAGAGGGAAGCCCUUUGACCUGGGGUCCAGCAGGUGUGCUGUUGUUCAGAGUGAGUUACCGGGACCCGUGAGCAAGACGUGUCUGGACGGUGCGGAGCUCCCUAUGUCCUUGCCUGUCACAAUGUCCCGCCGCAGAGUCCUGCUUCUGUCCCCAGAAAUGCAUAGCAGAGCUGACUGCCAGGCUGCUUAUUUGUGUCUGGAAGGCUUGUGUCCAAGGAUGCGUCUUGGCCCUUCUCAGAGGAUCGCGUCAACGGAAACACACACAGAUGGUGGGGGUCUGGGGGCUCGGGACGAAGGGCAGGACAGGAAUUCAUGCGGGCUGCAGGGAGACCCCACCCACGGAGCCCUGGGGGGACGACUCCACGUGACCCUUGCGCUCUCGGUUUGGGGCCCUGGAUCCCGCCACGGUUGUGAGUUCUUCCAGACCUGCCCAGGGCAAACUUGGGGGCUGCGGUCAGAUCCCGCCCGUGAGAACCUGGGAGAGGCUGGGUGUCCUUUAUCCCAUGGUCGGGCGGCCUAGUGCACUGGAGCUGGGGGGCCCGCCGCCCCAGCACCCAGGUGACCACAGACUCGGGCUCGUCCCCGCUGCUGUGCCCGUCACUGCUGUUGCAGGCCUCCCUCCGCCCAGAGGCUGUGGCUGAUGCUGUCCUCUGCCACCCUGUGACCACCGGCAACCUCCAGCUCCUUCCCUCCCGUGGGCUUCCCUUCUCCGCCGGGGACGUCUCCGCCCCCCAGCCUCUUCUCUGCCCCUUUCAGAAGGUCCAGGCUCCUUUUGCUCAACAAGGUGGUGACAGACACACCACCACCGUGGGGGUGGGCCACGCAUCCCUGGGCUCGGUGGGAGGCAGAGCAGGCGAGUGGACAGAGCCCAGUGGGCUGUGAGGUUGUCCUUAUCAGAGACACAGCGAGGGACGCAGCGUCUUUACUGGGCAAGGGGUCCCGUCCUUGCCAGCAUGAAACGCCGCCAUCGUCAUCUGUGAAACACUCUCUCUGUCUCUGGCCUUUGGGUCCUGACCCGCGGACCUACCUGCCAGCGUUGGCCCGGGACACAGUUCACUCCUCCGGACGGCGCUGUAGCCAGGCCCUUCCGCGCGUCCCUUCAAACACGCCUGCCUGCACGGCCGUCCCCGUGACGUCAGAAGCGGUGACGUCUCCCAUCCCACAGGAAUCUUCCUGGGACUGCGCAGGGAGUCUGGGCACAGUCGGGAACAUUGCCACUGACGUGACACGGAGUUGCUCGGGAAUGGGUCUCUCGACUUAUUUAGAACUUUGGGGGAAGUUUUCUGGUUUUCUUCUCUGUCAGGUCUUCUCCUCCUGGGCUCAUUCCUGGGCUUUAUUGCCAGCGCAAAUGGUGUGCUUUCCCCCAUAAAUGUUACCUAUUGUUUUAAUAAAUUGUAUUAUUUUUCUAUACUGACCUUAAAA